AUGAUCCUUAAUGGUUUACUUUUCUCUGUCUUGCCACCUCAGAGUUCUCUCCUUGCUUGUCCAGCUGCAGGGAAGAUACUUUACCUGCUGUCUCUGCAGAAGAUGAUGCAAAAGAGAACCCAAGGACAUUUUCAGUGGAAGAUAAUGCACAGAAGGUGUACAAUACCACUGGUUGUCAAAGAAGCGAAGCCAGGGUCCCUUCUAGUGGGUGCAUCAGAAGUUAGAGAGAUGAAAAUCCAAAAAAUCCUCUAUCCACAAGUGGGACUUUCUUACACCAGAAUAAAUGAUAUCUCUGAAGGAUCUAUUCUGUCAUAAAUGUUGAAUACAAGGGAAUGAUGAAGGGAUGAAGAUUAGACAUUGGCAUCUCCAUAACCUAACUAAUCUGUUCCUUUUUUUUUUUUUUUUUUUUUUUUUUGAUCUUUUUAGGGCUGCACCCACGGCAUAUGGAGUUUCCCAGGCUAGGGGUCUAAUCGGAGCUGUAACCGCCAGCCUACACCACAGCAACGCCAGAUCCGAGCCAUGUCUACAACCUACACUGCAACUCAGGGCAAUGCCAGAUCCUUGACCUGCUGAGCUGGGCCAGGGAUUGAGCCCAAAACCUCAUGGUUCCUAGUUGGAUUCGUUUCUGCUGCACCACGAUGGGAACUCAAUCUGUUCUUGUUUAUAACAGAAGAAGGAGAUGAACCAACUCACUGUCCUACUAAUAAAUGAGCUUUGAAUCAAAAUCUUUGUCUAAGA
rnacentral:lncRNA from 1 species